rnacentral:lncRNA from 1 species
CCUCCACAGAUACAUUCUGAACAUGUGCUCACUCUUCCGGUCCGACGGGCCAAUCACAGCCCUGCUAUCCAUUCAGUGGAAACCUCGAUGGCCCAAUCCGAACCUCCACCCUCACGGCUCUGAAUUACCCACAAUUCAUUGCAAUGUGCCGUUAAACACACAGUUAAAAGAAAAGCCAAUCAGGACACGUGCUGAGACAACCUGAGGAGUCCUGCUCACCUGGACCAAUGAGAGCGCGAGCUGAGAGAACGUUACCUUAUAUGGACCGCGCGAGGAGCCCCGCCAGCGGAUAAAAGCUGCGCGUGCAGACCGUCACGUCACAGCCGGCCAGAAGCAAACACCUCCAGUCCACUCGACACGCACCUGCACAGGUAAGAGCUCUCCAGGGGUAUCAAUGCGCCACGCUUCUGUUCUGGUUAUCGAUCAGACGAUCACCUGAUCGACAGCUGUGUGCAGCGAUGUAACGCCUUAGGAAAGGCUUCAUGUCGGACUUUAAUGUUCUGGAAAUCAGUUUCAAUGACGGCUUAAUGUGAAUUCAAAACAAAAUUAAUUUACCGAAAGAUUUGCUUUUAAUUCCAUUUUAAAGAGUGAACUUUGACAAGCUGCCACGUUGUCAGUGUGUAAGUCUUCACGCUCAGCAUCCGCCUUAAAGUGGCCUGGAUGACGAGCCCCCAGAUAUGAACCUAUAUAUGGAUAUGGAUCAGCAGCUGAUCAUAUCACACGUUAAUGAAGGCGCUCUGUUUCCUCUAAACCAGACCAGUUGACUGAAGGCUCUUCGAGGUGUGUGUGUGUGUGUGUGUGUGUGUGUGUGUUGCAGGAGCCGCCCUCCCCUCAGGACAUCUACUCAACUCUUCCUAAAUUACCACUUUAGUAACAAACCUCCUGUUGAAGGGGGCUCGAUUCUGAUCUUUCUGAAGCCCUUCAGAUGUUAAUGACAUUAUUUCUACUCUGAAUGCUCUCCUGAACCACUAGUUCUACUAAUGGGAAUGUAUUUACGACUUCCCCUCAUGUGUGUCCAUGUUGUGACGACAUCCUGAUGAAGCCACAUAUUGACAUGCAUUAGUUAAAUAACAUGUCCCGUUUACUUUGAACACGGUGUUCUCUAACACUUUGACUGUCGGCCAUGUUUGCUGCAAACCGACUGGCUGCCAGUCAUCCUUGGCGAGCGGGACCUUCAUCGGGUUUAUCCGGUUGUACCACCUGACGCGCCCCGAGCCACGGUCUGAGGAGCACAACGUUGAUUCAGUCCCACGUAAAGUGUUGCUUCACUCCUGGUUGUGUAACCGGAUGUUUCAGAAGGUCGGCAUGAGGAAAUGAUGACAUCACUUCACUCUUUUUCUAGAGUCAAAACUUCUCUUUUUGGUUUUUUGCAACAUUUCUUUUAUUGUAUGAUUUGUUUAAUUAUUGCCCCCCCGUCCAACGCUUUAAUUAAUUUCUCAGGUCAUUAAAAAGGAUUUGACUCUAUAUAAAUAAAUACUAAAGUGUAUAAGGGAAGUCCUUGAUGGUGCCAUUGGAGAACCUUUGU